rnacentral:rRNA from 1 species
AUUCCCCUAGUAACUGCGAGUGAAGCGGGAAAAGCUCAAAUUUAAAAUCUGAUGGUCUUUGGCCGUCCGAGUUGUAAUUUAGAGAAGCGUCUUCCGCGCUGGACCGUGCACAAGUCUCCUGGAAUGGAGCGUCAUAGAGGGUGAGAAUCCCGUCUUUGGCACGGACACACCAGGGCUUUUGUGAUGCGCUCUCGAAGAGUCGAGUUGUUUGGGAAUGCAGCUCAAAAUGGGUGGUGAACUCCAUCUAAAGCUAAAUAUUGGCGAGAGACCGAUAGCGAACAAGUACCGUGAGGGAAAGAUGAAAAGCACUUUGGAAAGAGAGUGAAACAGUACGUGAAAUUGUUGAAAGGGAAACGCUUGAAGUCAGUCGCGUCGACCGAGACUCAGCCUUGCCUUGGCUUGGUGUACUUCUCGGCUGACGGGUCAGCAUCAAUUUUGCCCCUUGGAUAAUGGCAAGGGAAAUGUGACACCUUUGCGGUGUGUUAUAGUCCCUCGUCGCAUGCAAGGGUUGGGAUUGAGGAACUCAGCACGCGCCUUUGGGCGUCGGGGCUUUGCCCACGAUACGUGCUUAGGAUGUUGGCGUAAUGGCUUUAAACGACCCGUCUUGAAACACGGACCAAGGAGUCUAACAUGCCUGCGAGUGUUCGGGUGGAAAACCCGUGCGCGCAAUGAAAGUGAAAGUUGGGACCUCUGUCGUGGAGGGCACCGACGCCCGGACCAGACCUUCUGUGACGGCUCUGCGGUAGAGCAUGUAUGUUAGGACCCGAAAGAUGGUGAACUAUGCCUGAAUAGGGUGAAGCCAGAGGAAACUCUGGUGGAGGCUCGUAGCGAUUCUGACGUGCAAAUCGAUCGUCAAAUUUGGGUAUAGGGGCGAAAGAC